CCUGCCUGGGCCUCAGCCCCCCAAAGCUCCAGCCUCUUCAUGUGCUAGGGGAACUCCCCCAGGCCCAUCUGGCCUCUCCUGUGCUGAAAGGCCACAGAGUGACAGGCCAGAAACCUGACUCAGUGUUUAUUCACCAAACACUGAGAGGGCCCUCCUGAAUCUCUUCCCCACCCAAAGCCUCCCUACUUCGGGGGCAGGAGAGGGGACGGCACUGCCAUCUCCCAUGCUCAGCAUACCUGGUAUACUUGCCCCAGGAGAUUAGCCACAAGGAAAAGCAUGCAGGCUGCCCCCGACACAAGAGAAAAUCUGGUAAAACACAAGAAAGAACCACCACUGAGCAGCAUCAGCCAAGAGAAGAAUCCCACAUCCUGUGGAUUCCGGGAUUUACGGCUUGGUGAGGAGCCUCUGUGUCUCCUUGACAGGAAUUCCACCAUCAACUCAUCACCAAAGCGUCCUCAUCAACCUGGCUUUAAUCGCCUCCAAACCUGAUAAACAUCGGAGGAGGCUGUUCAUCCUUGGCAAAUUAUCUAAUCCACAUGUUGUUCAAUUUGUGUAAACCCCAGCCCACGAGGAUCAUAAAAUAAAUAAGCAUGAAAUGGUU